rnacentral:rRNA from 1 species
AGCGAACGCUGGCGGUAUGCUUAACACAUGCAAGUCGAGCGCGAAAGUGACUCGGUCAUGAGUAGAGCGGCGGACGGGUGAGUAACACGUGGAUAAUCUGCCUUUAGGACUGGGAUAACCCUGGGAAACUAGGGCUAAUACCGGAUAAGACCACAGGUUCCAUGGGAACCAGGGGUAAAAGGCGGCCUUCGGGCUGUCGCCGAAAGAUGAGUCCGCGUCCCAUCAGGUAGUUGGUGAGGAACGG